rnacentral:rRNA from 1 species
UACGGGGGGUGCGAGCGUUGUCCGGAAUCACUGGGCGUAAAGGGCGCGUAGGUGGCCUGAUAAGGGUGUGGUGAAAGUCCGGGGCUCAACCCCGGAUCUGCCGUGCCGACUGUUGGGCUGGAGUACUGUAGGGGCAGGCGGAAUUCCGGGUGUAGCGGUGGAAUGCGUAGAGAUCCGGAGGAAGACCGGUGGCGAAGGCGGCCUGCUGGGCAGUUACUGACACUGAGGCACGAAGGCCAGGGGAGCAAACGGG